rnacentral:rRNA from 1 species
GGGGAAUAUUGGACAAUGGGCGCAAGCCUGAUCCAGCCACGCCGCGUGAGUGAUGAAGGCCUUCGGGUCGUAAAGCUCUGUGGGGAGGGACGAACGGCGCCAUGAAGAGUGGCGAUUGACGGUACCUCCUUAGCAAGCACCGGCUAACUUCGUGCCAGCAGCCGCGGUAAUACGAAGGGUGCAAACGUUGCUCGGAAUCAUUGGGCGUAAAGCGCACGUAGGCGGCUUUCUAAGUCGGAUGUGAAAUCCCUCGGCUUAACCGAGGACGUGCAUCCGAAACUGGGAGGCCUGAGUAUGGAAGAGGGUCGCAGAAUUCCCGGUGUAGAGGUGAAAUUCGUAGAUAUCGGGAGGAAUACCAGUGGCGAAGGCGGCGACCUGGGCCAAUACUGACGCUGAGGUGCGAAAGCGUGGGGAGCAAAC